GACGAACGCUGGCGGCGUGCCUAAUACAUGCAAGUAGAACGCUGAAGGAGGAGCUUGCUUCUCUGGAUGAGUUGCGAACGGGUGAGUAACGCGUAGGUAACCUGCCUGGUAGCGGGGGAUAACUAUUGGAAACGAUAGCUAAUACCGCAUAAGAGUAGAUGUUGCAUGACAUAUGCUUAAAAGGUGCAAUUGCAUCACUACCAGAUGGACCUGCGUUGUAUUAGCUAGUUGGUGAGGUAACGGCUCACCAAGGCAACGAUACAUAGCCGACCUGAGAGGGUGAUCGGCCACACUGGGACUGAGACACGGCCCAGACUCCUACGGGAGGCAGCAGUAGGGAAUCUUCGGCAAUGGACGGAAGUCUGACCGAGCAACGCCGCGUGAGUGAAGAAGGUUUUCGGAUCGUAAAGCUCUGUUGUAAGAGAAGAACGAGUGUGAGAGUGGAAAGUC
rnacentral:rRNA from 1 species